ACUGCUAAGGCUCACACCAUGCGGAUGAACAGACUCGAGCCUUGGUUCCACAUUUUGCAUAUGGGGAAACCAAAUCCUGGAAAAGGCCCAAGCUGGGUCAUGCUGUUCCAUGUAUCAAGAAAGACAAGCAGGGAAGGAGGCACAGAGAAGCCUGGAGCUGGCAGAGGGUGACCCCAAGUGCUUCCACACCUCUGACAUGGGGACUGCAUGAACCUUUGAAAGAAAGCCUGAGGGAAACUAAACUCUCAGUACUGGUCCUGAGAACUCCACAGGACGGUAGGACAGGCCUGGGGCAUCUUAGUCCUAGCCAGUGUCAGGACUAAGAACUGUAUACUACAUCCCCUUAGGCUAGCUGCUUAAGUUACUGUAGAAUAAUAGUUAACUCCCUCAGAGUCAGGACAGGGUGCUGAAGGAAGGUCUCCACACUCCUGGCUUAGAUUUUCCAAGAUCUGAGACCCAGGGAUGUGGAGGGUUUUUCACACAGGUGGAAGAUUCUAUGUGCACAGCAGGAGGGGAGGGGAACGGGCUUCCAACUUGGUGGGGUAGUGCUAGUUUGCCUUCCAAGCAAAUCUCUAGAAAUACCUAGAAAGUCCCGGCUGGUGACUCCCAGGCUACCACAAACAGAACUUCUUUUUUUUUUUUUUUUUUUUUUUUNNNNNNNNNNNNNNNNNNNNNNNNNGGCUGUCCUGGAACUCACUUUGUAGACCAGGCUGGCCUUGAACUCAGAAAUCCACCUGCCUCUGCCUCCCAAGUGCUGGUAUUAAAGGCGUGCGCCACCACUGCCCGGCUCAAACAGAACUUCUAAAGUGGGUCCCACUAACUCUUGCUUCC
ensembl:antisense Pitpnm2os2 phosphatidylinositol transfer protein, membrane-associated 2, opposite strand 2